AUGAACGCUGGCGGCGUGCCUAAUACAUGCAAGUCGAACGCUGGAAAUCUAGCUUGCUAGAUUGAAGGAGUGGCGAACGGGUGAGUAAUACAUAAGCAACCUACCCACGAAGACUGGGAUAAUCUCUGGAAACGGGGACUAAUACCGGAUAGGUAAUCGGAAGGCAUCUUCUGAUUAUUAAAGGUUAAAAACACUGGUGGAUGGGCUUAUGGCGCAUUAGUUAGUUGGUGAGGUAACGGCCCACCAAGACGAUGAUGCGUAGCCGGCCUGAGAGGGUGAACGGCCACAUUGGGACUGAGACACGGCCCAGACUCCUACGGGAGGCAGCAGUAGGGAAUUUUCGGCAAUGGGGGAAACCCUGACCGAGCAACGCCGCGUGAGUGAUGACGGCCUUCGGGGUGUAAAGCUCUGUUGUAAGGGAAGAACGGUAGAUAGAGAAUAUCUAAAUGACGGUACCUUACCAGAAAGCCACGGCUAACUACGUG
rnacentral:rRNA from 1 species